CGAAUGGGGGAAACCCUGACCGAGCGACGCCGCGUGCGGGAUGAAGCUUUUCGGAGUGUAAACCGCUUUCGCUGGAGAUGAAAGCAGGGGUGGCUAACACCUGCACCUGUAGACAGUACCCAGUAAAGAAGCACCGGCUAACUCCGUGCCAGCAGCCGCGGUAAUACGGGGGGUGCGAGCGUUAAUCGGAUUUAUUGGGCGUAAAGGGGGCCUAGGCGGCCAAGUAAGUCAGGGGUGAAAUCUCCACGGCUUACCCGGGAAAAUGCCUUUGAUACUGCUUGGCUCGAGUUCGGAUUAGGGAAGCGGAAUUCCGUGUGUAGCGGUGAAAUGCGUAGAUAUACGGAGGAACACCAGUGGCGAAGGCGGCUUCCUGGGCCGAUACUGACGCUGAAGCCCGAAAGCGUGGGGAGCGAACGGGAUUAGAUACCCCGGUAGUCCACGCCCUAAACGUUGCGCACUAGGUGUUGGGAGUAUCGACCCUCCCAGUGCCGCCGCUAACGCAUUAAGUGCGCCGCCUGGGGAGUACGGUCGCAAGACUG
rnacentral:rRNA from 1 species